rnacentral:lncRNA from 1 species
AGGAGGAGGAGACAGUGUCUGGCUGUGUUGCCCAGGCUUGCAUAUGAUCUUCCAGCUUGAGCUGCCAGAGUGUCUGGAAGUACUGUAUGAACUGUACUUUUGGUACAGUCUUAGAUCUCUGGCUAGAUCCUUCUCCAUACUGCUUCUAGACAGCAUGCUUAAUUCUAUAAAUAUUACUGGUUAUUGUAUAUGCAUUAUAUCAGUGUAUAAAUCAUCUUGAGGAGAGUUGAUGUUUUUGUAAAUUUAUAUCUUUUGGCUCAGAAAUGUGAUUUUAUUUAGUCUUUUGUCCUACUUUAUAGCAUCUUAUUUAUUUAUUCAUUUGUUCCAUGAUAGUCUGGCUGGCCUGGUAUUAUAUAACCCAGGCUAGCCUCUAAUUGUUGGUGGUCUUCCUAUCUUCUGAACACUGGUAUUAGAGGCAUACAGUUCUUCAUCUUAAAGGAGUUAAAAAAGCCAGCUGUGCCACGUCAGUGGCUGGUCAGUUCUGCCAGAACCACUGAUCAUCAAGUAAUCAUAUUGCUUCAAUUAGAGAAGCCUGGUUCUUCCUGUACAAACAAUUUACUUGUGUGUGUGUGUGUGUGUGUGUGUGUGUGUGUGUGUUUUGUGAGUCUCUAAGAUAUGUUGAAGGUGACUUGUCAAUUUACUCUCCUUUCAAACAUUUAGUAUACGAAACAUUCUGCAACUCCUUGCAUAGAAAUUGACAUAAGCAAUAUGCACUCAGAGCUACAUACCAGAUUCACUUAAAGCAUUAGUUAUGCUGAAGAGCUGGCUUGAUAGCAUGAGAGCGUGCACACAAGCGCACGCAUGCACACACACGCCUUGGUAAGCACUAAAUAGGAAGCUGCUCCUGGACUUAGGAAAUAAUAGGUGUUCCAUAAUAGAGGACACACACUCCUGUCAAGAGUGCAGUUAAAGAGCAACCAGCAGCAGUGUUUGUGUUGCUGUACACUGCUGCUGUUUGCAGAUGCUCCUUCCCAUGCACAUCUCUGUCCCUUUUGCCGCUCUUAUAUCCUCUUCAAUGCACCACGUGUGUGCCUGGUGCCCACAGAAACCAAAAGAGGGCAUCUGAUCUCCUGGAACUGUAGUUACAGACAGUUGUAAACUGUCAUUCGGUUGUUGGAAAUCUGGUCCCCUAGAAGAGAUGCCAGUGUUCUUAACUGCUCAGCCAGCUUUCUAGCUUCAUUCAGGUCUAAUACUUUUAAAUUCAACAUCAAAAUAUUGGAGCAUAGACAAAGAAUGCAAGUUAUUUGCUAGUGUGUUACAUCAGUUACCUAUAGUCCGGUUUUUCAGUGGAGUCCUUGUCCCUAUUUGUCUUACUUAGGGUUUCUGUUGCUGUGAUAGAAUAUACUGACCUAAAACAGCUUGGUGGGAGGAAUGGGCUAUUUCACAUUUCCACAUCACAGACCAUCACUGAAGGAGUUCAAGGGAGAAACUGUAGGCAGGAACUCAGGCAGAAGCCAUGAAGGAGUGCUGCUUACUGGUUUAAUCCUUGUGGUUUGCUCAGCCUGCUUUCUUAUAGCACCCAGGACCACCAGCUCAAGGUUAGUACCACUCACAGUGAACUGGGCCUUCUCACAUCAGUGUUCAACCAAAAAAAAUGCACUGCAGGUUUGCCCCCAAACCAGCCUGGUAGGGACAUUUUCUCAAAUAACUCUUAUCUUGUGAUAGGUUGACAUAAAACUAGCUGGCAGUGAGAAACCUUGCUAGCAGUCUUUCUGUCUUUGUGUCUGGCCUUCUCGGCUUCCAUCAGAGCCAUCCAUGAAACUCCACUGAGCAGGACUCUUAGGCUCUCUCCCACAAACACUUCCAAAGCCUCUAGGCCAUGUGUUGUGUAGCAGUUUUUGAAACAUUUCAUCCUGCAGGGAAGCUCCUUAAACUGGAAGGUAAACAUUUCAGAGGUGCAGUUCCUGAAACUGACCAGAUUCUCUAGGUCCCUCCCAGCCAGAGAAAGCAAUAAAAACUGAGAGUCACUCUUAAUCAGACUGAUAGAACGGAGCUGCAGAGAAAUUCUCAGACAAGCCAAGCUACAAGAAAAGACUUGAUAUGAGACCAGCCACCAGGAAGAAGCAGAAACCAGCCAAGAUACCACUAAGAACGUAGACCAGCUAAGACAUCUGGAAAGGAAAGUCUUCAGUAUGUUGAGCUGCCUGCAGGCUGUGCAGUGUGCUGCAGGUUCCCAGCUUUCUGAGCUGUCAGCUUGCUGGGGUAGGCUUUAGUGAUGCAGCUGUCUUUGAGUCAUUCUGCUCCUGAAAGUAACCGCUCACUCAUAUUCUGUAAGCAACCCCAAGAAAACUCAUUGGUUCACCAAGUUGGACUUUGGAGGUAUCUCAACUUUUGGUCCCUAUCUGAGGUGAGUGGACAUGUGUUAUAUGUCCCUAGGAAAAGUUUUGCCACACAGUACCGGGUAUCAUGUGGCCCAGCAAUAAAUCUCACUUGAUGACAUCAUCAGAGGUCCAGCCCUUGUCAUCUUGGCAUCUAAACGAGUCUCUGGCACACCGUCCUUAUACUCCAAAUAAAGGCAGUAACAAGUCAUACUUACACAGUGAGGACAUCCUUGUUUCUAUAACUAGUCACAGGCCAGAGUCCUAUGUUUAAUUCUGACAUUUAUAUUUUUCUGAGGAGGCUUUCUAUUCGCCUCUGAUAGAAAGGGCAGCUACAGACCAGAGAAACAAUUUCAUCCUCAUGCUGCUAGUGGUAAGCCAGUGAGUUUCCAGGAAUACACAGGAUGCGGAAGCAAGAAGGCCACCAAAAGUUCAAGACCAGUGUGAACUGCAUAGUAAUUUUAAGGCCAUUCUGGUCUACAUAGUGAGAACCUUGUCUCCAAAAAAACAAGCAAAUAAAUAAAAAUUGAAUCUGAAUUUUGUUGUCAUGUCUCUUGAGAGUUUCAGCUUCCAACAACAACCUGAAUGCUAUCUUUCUAGCAACUAAACUUCCACAAGCUUAAUUUACUCUUCCAUCAAAUAAAAAUGGGACCAGGACACUGAACUCAUUAUUUUCUCUGGUUUCUGACAAAGUUUCUUUUGCUGUAAGCUGCAUUUGUAACUUUUCCCCCCUUUUUUGUUUAUAUUUGUUUUUGGAAUUACUUGUGAACUAUAGAAGCCAGCCUUUUAGUACAUUGUUACAGAAUGUGUUUUUUCAGGGUCCCAAGGACUUUUUCACUUUGAUCUAUGGUACUUCUACCAGACCACUGUCUUUAGCUUUUAAUUAGUAAAAUUAUCUUUUGGCCUUAAUAUAAAACUGUAGCUUUCCUUUAUGUAAACAAUAACCAAUCCUAUAAUAAUGGAAGAUAGGAGUCUAAUUACAAAAUCAGCAGGUCUUGUACCUAGAUGUAAACUUAGGCUCAGCAGAACAUCCAUGAACAGAUUUCUCAUUAGGCAUGAUAGUACAUAUCUGUAAUCUCAGCUCUUGAGAGGUAAAGGC